GUCCAGACUCCUACGGGAGGCAGCAGUGGGGAAUAUUGCACAAUGGGGGAAACCCUGAUGCAGCGACGCCGCGUGAGUGAAGAAGUAUUUCGGUAUGUAAAGCUCUAUCAGCAGGGAAGAAAAUGACGGUACCUGAUUAAGAAGCCCCGGCUAACUACGUGCCAGCAGCCGCGGUAAUACGUAUGGUGCAAGCGUUAUCCGGAUUUACUGGGUGUAAAGGGAGCGCAGGCGGUACGGCAAGUCUGAUGUGAAAGCCCGGGGCUCAACCCCGGUACUGCAUUGGAAACUACCGGACUGGAGUGUCGGAGGGGUAAGUGGAAUUCCUAGUGUAGCGGUGAAAUGCGUAGAUAUUAGGAGGAACACCAGUGGCGAAGGCGGCUUACUGGACGAUCACUGACGCUGAGGCUCGAAAGCGUGGGGAGCAAACAGGAUGAGAUACCCGUGUA
rnacentral:rRNA from 1 species